rnacentral:tRNA from 1 species
GCCCGGCUAGCUCAAUCGGUAGAGCGUGAGACUCUUAAUCUCAAGGUUGUGGGUUCGACCCGUAAGCUCUACUCUGAUGCG